UCCAAUGUGGAAGUGCAAGCAACAAAUGUUGUCAUUGUCAAACCAGAAGCAGAUCAAGCAUGUGGAAGCCAUGACCUGAUCAAUAUGGUGGACGAAGCAAGUGGAAGCCGUUACCAAACCAUUGGGGUGACCGAGGAGCUGAGCGAUAUCAUAAUCCAUGGAAAGCAUUUGCUGGAGAGGUUGGACUCCCUGAAGCAGGCAGGUGAAAAGCCUGUCAAAACGCGGAUACAGAGGGUUCCAUACAUGUUGUGGGAGAACAAAAAAUUAGAGAAGUACAAUAAACCAAGGGUGAUUGCAAUCGGUCCUAUCCACCAUGACGGCACCAGUUUCGAGUAUGGUGAGAGGAUGAAGCGUAUACUAGCAGGACAGUUCAUGAAAGAAUAUGCUUUAGUAGCAGAAAAUCUUUACAUGAUGAUUAUGAAGGAUUUGGGAAAUUUGAAAAUGUGUUACGUGGCAGAUGUGUUAGGAAAACACAGUGAUCAUGAACUCGCCUGGAUGUUUCUUGUGGAUGGAUGUUCAACGCUGCAUUUCAUGCAUUGUUUUGAAAAUUACGAGAAGUUCCGGCGAAUGAAUAUCACUGACGAGCUGGUGGUUUUUGCGACACAGGAUAUACUCUUGCUCGAGAAUCAACUUCCUUACGCACUCCUCGAGCUAUUGAUUAGCUCGGUCGUCCAGAAAACAGAGCAGGAGAUAAUCAGAUAUUCAAUCGACAAGUUCAUUUCUGGUUGCAAUAUAUUUUUAACAAGACGUUUAUCAGCAAAAGAAUUAAGAGAGGUUCCACCCUGCCAUCUUCUGGGUCUUCUGCGGCAAGCAACAGGGGUCGAUUUUAAAGCAGAGAACAAAGCAAGACCAUUUAUAACUGGAGAUUCGCCCACGUUUCACAGCGCGACACAGCUUACGGUAUCAGGGAUCCGGUUUAAGCCAUUUUAUGGAGCAUCCUUGGAAAUUUCUUUCAAGCGAGGCUUCUGGGGAAUCUUACGACUUCCUCCAGUCAUAGUCGAUGAGUCGUUGUUUUUGCCCAUGUUCUUGAGCUUAGCAUCAUACGAAAAGUGCCCAGAUUUUUUGAAUGGGAAAGAGGUCACCUCCUAUAUAUGGUUCCUGGACUCGCUCAUUCAGCAUCCUGAUGAUGCCAAGGUGAGAGGCCGGCAUUCUCAUAAAUUUUUUUGGCAGUGAUGAAGAAAUAGCUGAACUCUUCAAAAUGGUAGCCAAGGACUUGGUUCCAAGCCCUGAUUUAUAUUCCAAUUUGAGAUUUGAAAUCGAAGUGCAUUACAAGAAAAAAUGGAGACCCCGGAUAUAUCAGCUGAUUAAGGUCUCUCAAGAUUAUUGGACUAUGCUUAAAGUUGGUGCUUUUAUUACAAUCUUUUUGACUGUUGUUCAAACUUAUUUCGCGCUUCCUCUUCAUAAAAGCAAGACAUAGGGGAAAUUCGACCUAUAGAUGCUUCUAUAUAUGGUAAGUAUAUGUUUGUCAUGAAUAAUUCACCUCUAGAUAUUGAUUUUUUUUUUAUUGCUUCAUUAUCAAUAAUUUGAUGUGAUAGUGAUAUAAAAAAAAUGAUGUGAUUGUAUUUAUAUUAUUGAAAGUGCAUUCGAUGUGCUAUAUAUGCACAUCUCUCUCAAGU
rnacentral:misc_RNA from 1 species